UUUGAGGAUAAUGCACUCAUAGAAAGUAAGUCACUUUAACUUGUUGGUAUCAUCCAAAGGUAACUAGAAAUAGUAUGUUUGGUUUGGUAGGACUUUCUAACUGUAUGUUGUUCUUUUUCCUUUUUCAAAUACUUCCCAUAAAGGUCAAUGUCACUCUUUUAUGCUUAUAACAUCAUGUGUUGUUAUAAUUUUGUAUUUUUGUUUACUCUAAAAUGUUACUCUUUUUAUUUUCCAAGAUUAUUUUGAAGUGAUAACUAACUUGUUCGUCGGAGUGUUUGUAGGAAGUUAUGUACGCUCUUGUCAUGAAUAGAUCAAAAUGAGUCUUGAGGUCAUUACAGGGAGAGCCAGCCGUUGAGGUUACAAAUGAAGGUGUUGAUGCUGCAGGGCAUACAAUUGGUACAUCUUUGGAGGUCGUGUUCAAACUUAGGAAGGUUCUCAACCCCAAGAGUGUGAUCAAACCAACAUCACUAGCUAAAGAUUAUUUUGAGAAUAACAUCUAUCGAAUCAAUUUCAGACGAAAGACCUUGGUAAACUCCUAUAUUUUUUGGGUAUUGAGGUAAUUCAAUCUAAAGAUUAUAUGGUAAUUUCUCCGGGAAAAUAUGCUAUGGAUACUUUUGAAGAAACAAGUUUGUAGAUAAUGCACUCAUAGAAAGUAAGUCACUUUAACUUGUUGGUAUCAUCCAAAGGUAACUAGAAAUACUAUGUUUGGUUUGGUAGGACUUUCUAACUGUAUGUUGUUCUUUUUCCUUUUUCAAAUACUUCCCAUAAAGGUCAAUGUCACUCUUUUAUGCUUAUAACAUCAUGUGUUGUUAUAAUUUUGUAUUUUUGUUUACUCUAAAAUGUUACUCUUUUUAUUUCCCAGGAUUAUUUUGAAGUGAUAACUAACUUGUUCGUCGGAGUGUUUGUAGGAAGGUAUGUACGCUCUUGUCAUGAAUAGAUCAAAAUGAGUCUUGAGGUCAUUACAGGUAAUGUUCUUCUAUUGCUUCUUUUCAUUUGGUUUUUACAAUAAAUGCAAAGUGAUUGUUUUGUUACAAGUAGUAAAUACUGCACAAAUCCAUAACAAAUAUUGAGCAGUUUCUCGCAUUUUCUUUUUUAUAUUAUACUGGUAAGGGUUGUAUUGUGUUUUGAUUUCACUGUUUCUUUUGGUCAUAUUUGAUAGGGAGAGCCAGCCGUUGAGGUUACAAAUGAAGGUGUUGAUGCUGCAGGGCAUACAAUUGGUACAUCUUUGGAGGUCGUGUUCAAACUUAGGAAGGUUCUCAACCCCAAGAGUGUGAUCAAACCAACAUCACUAGCUAAAGAUUAUUUUGAGAAUAACAUCUAUCGAAUCAAUUUCAGACGAAAGACCUUGGUAAACUCCUAUAUUUUUUGGGUAUUGAGGUAAUUCAAUCUAAAGAUGAUAUGGUAAUUUCUCCGGGGAAAUAUGCUAUGGAUACUUUUGAAGAAACAAGUUUGUAGAUAAUGCACUCAUAGAAAGUAAGUCACUUUAACUUGUUGGUAUCAUCCAAAGGUAACUAGAAAUACUAUGUUUGGUUUGG